CGGACGGGUGAGUAACACGUGGAUAACCUACCUAUAAGACUGGGAUAACUUCGGGAAACCGGAGCUAAUACCGGAUAAUAUAUUGAACCGCAUGGUUCAAUAGUGAAAGACGGUUUUGCUGUCACUUAUAGAUGGAUCCGCGCCGCAUUAGCUAGUUGGUAAGGUAACGGCUUACCAAGGNACGAUGCGUAGCCGACCUGAGAGGGUGAUCGGCCACACUGGAACUGAGACACGGUCCAGACUCCUACGGGAGGCAGCAGCC
rnacentral:rRNA from 1 species